GAAAGAAGGAUCUAGCGAAAUAUGGCUGCAGAGAGCCCUGCUAUGCGUCGGGUCCAGGUGGCAGAACAUCCCAGGUUACUGAAGCUAAAGGAGAUGUUUAACUCCAAGUUUGGAUCUAUUCCCAAGUUUUAUGUUCGAGCACCAGGAAGAGUCAACGUAAUAGGAGAGCAUAUAGAUUACUGUGGAUAUUCUGUUCUUCCUAUGGCUAUAGAACAAGAUGUGCUAAUAGCUGUAGAACCUGUGAAAACAUAUACUCUCCAACUGGCCAAUACAAAUCCCUUGUAUCCGGACUUCAGUACUAGUGCUAAUAACAUUCAGAUUGAUAAAACCAAGGCUUUGUGGCACAACUAUUUCUUAUGUGGACUUAAAGGAAUUCAGGAACACUUUGGUCUUAGUAACCUGACUGGAAUGAACUGCCUGGUAGAUGGAAAUAUCCCACCAAGUUCUGGCCUCUCCAGCUCCAGUGCUUUGGUCUGUUGUGCUGGCUUGGUGACGCUCACAGUGCUGGGAAGGAAUCUAUCCAAGGUGGAACUUGCAGAAAUCUGUGCCAAGAGUGAGCCUUACAUUGGUACUGAAGGAGGAGGCAUGGACCAGUCUAUAUCAUUUCUUGCAGAAGAAGGAACUGCCAGGUUGAUAGAAUUUAGUCCUCUGAGGGCAACUGAUGUAAAACUCCCAAGUGGAGCAGUGUUUGUGAUUGCCAACAGUUGUGUGGAGAUGAAUAAGGCAGCAACUUCUCAUUUCAAUAUCAGGAUGAUGGAAUGUCGGCUGGCUGCAAAGCUCCUAGCUAAAUACAAAAACUUGCAAUGGGACAACGUACUGCGGCUGGAGGAGGUACAGGCUAAACUAGGGAUUAGUCUAGAAGAAAUGUUGUUGGUCACAGAAGAUGCCCUUCAUCCUGAACCCUAUAACCCCAGAGGAGAUCUGUAGGUGUCUGGGAAUUAGCCUGGAGGAACUCCGAACCCAAAUCCUGAGUCCAAACACUCAAG